rnacentral:misc_RNA from 1 species
AACGCACCUUGCGCCCUUUGGUAUUCCGAAGGGCAUGCCUGUUUGAGUGUCAUUAAAUUCUCAACCUUGAAAAGCUUUAUUGUUCUUCAAGGCUUGGAUCUGGGGGUUGCAGGCUUUUUCAAAGUCGGCUCCUCUGAAAUGCAUUAGCUGGGUUUGCGCCUUCAGCCUAUUGGUGUGAUAAUUAUCUACGCCUCUUGUGUUGUUAGCGUGUUUUACUUUCCAGCUUCAAACCGUCCUUCAUUGGACAAUAUUUGACUAUUUGACCUCAAAUCAGGUAGGACUACCCGCUGAACUUAA